AUUGAACGCUGGCGGCAGGCUUAACACAUGCAAGUCGAGCGAGCGGCGGACGGGUGAGUAAUGUCUGGGAAACUGCCUGGUGGAGGGGGAUAACUACUGGAAACGGUAGCUAAUACCGCAUACCCACAGAUGUGCCCAGAUGGGAUUAGCUAGUAGGUGGGGUAAUGGCUCACCUAGGCGACGAUCCCUAGCUGGUCUUAGAGGAUGACCAGCCACACUGGAACUGAGACACGGUCCAGACUCCUACGGGAGGCAGCAGUGGGGAAUAUUGCACAAUGGGCGCAAGCCUGAUGCAGCCAUGCCGCGUGUGUGAAGAAGGCCUUCGGUUUGUAAAGUACUUUCAGCGAGGAGGCGUUACUCGCAGAAGAAGCACCGGCUAACUCCGUGCCAGCAGCCGCGGUAAUUC
rnacentral:rRNA from 1 species